UACCCGCAGUACAAGUGGUGGUCAUUAUUAUUGGGCCUAAAGCGUCCGUAGCAGGCUUGUUAGAUGCCUGGGUAAAUCGAUGCGCUCACCGCAUCGACUUCCGGGUAGACCGGCAAGCUCGAGACCGGGAGAGGCGUGGGCUACUCGAGGGGUAGGGGUAAAAUCCUGUAAUCCUUCGGGGAGGACCAGUGGCGAAGGCGCCACGCUAGAGCGGCUCUGACUGUGAGGGACGAAGCCCUGGGGCGCAAACCGG
rnacentral:rRNA from 1 species